GACGAACGCUGGCGGCGUGCUUAACACAUGCAAGUCGAACGGAAAGGCCCUGCUUUUGUGGGGUGCUCGAGUGGCGAACGGGUGAGUAACACGUGAGUAACCUGCCCUUGACUUUGGGAUAACUUCAGGAAACUGGGGCUAAUACCGGAUAGGAGCUCCUGCUGCAUGGUGGGGGUUGGAAAGUUUCGGCGGUUGGGGAUGGACUCGCGGCUUAUCAGCUUGUUGGUGGGGUAGUGGCUUACCAAGGCUUUGACGGGUAGCCGGCCUGAGAGGGUGACCGGCCACAGUGGGACGGAGAUCGGGCCAGGACUCCUACGGGAGGCAGCAGGGGGGAAUAUGGCACAAGGGGGGGAAGCCUGAUGCAGCAACGCCGGGUGCGGGAGGACGGCCUUCGGGUUGUAAACCGCUUUCGCCUGUGACGAAGCGUGAGGGACGGUAAUGGGUAAAGAAGCACCGGCUAACUACGUG
rnacentral:rRNA from 1 species